UUGGGGAAGGAAAAUUCUCCUAAGGCUAAAUAACGGCGAGAGACCGAUAGCGAACAAGUACCGUGAGGGAAAGAUGAAAAGAACUUUGAAAAGAGAGUUAAACAGUACGUGAAAUUGUUGAAAGGGAAACGAUUGAAGCCAGUCGUACCUUCGGGUAAUCAGCCUUUCGGGUGCGAUUCUGUGGAGUGUGAGGAGCUUAACACCUUCAUGCUUUGCAUAUUUGUGCUCUUGGGUGUACUUGCCCGUGUGGUUGGUUAACAUCAAUUUUGGGUAUCAUAAAAUGACUGGAGGAUGGACCUUCGAUAAA
rnacentral:rRNA from 1 species